rnacentral:rRNA from 1 species
UACGUAGGGUGCAAGCGUUGUCCGGAAUUAUUGGGCGUAAAGAGCUCGUAGGUGGCUUGUUGCGUCGCCUGUGAAAGCCCGGGGCUUAACUCCGGGUCUGCAGGCGAUACGGGCAGGCUUGAGGGCAGCAGGGGAGACUGGAAUUCCUGGUGUAGCGGUGAAAUGCGCAGAUAUCAGGAGGAACACCGGUGGCGAAGGCGGGUCUCUGGGCUGUACCUGACACUGAGGAGCGAAAGCGUGGGGAGCAAACAGG